rnacentral:rRNA from 1 species
UACGGAGGGUGCAAGCGUUAUCCGGAUUUAUUGGGCGUAAAGAGCUCGUAGGUGGUUUGGUAAGUCGGAUGUGAAAUCUCCAGGCUCAACCUGGAGGGGUCAUUCGAUACUGCCAUGACUAGAGGUCGGUAGGGGAGUGUGGAAUUCCUGGUGGAGCGGUGAAAUGCGCAGAUAUCAGGAGGAACACCCGUAGCGAAGGCGGCACUCUGGGCCGAUUCUGACACUGAGGAGCGAAAGCGUGGGGAGCGAACAGG